CCCUUAGACGUUCUGGGCCGCACGCGCGCUACACUGACCAGUGCAACAAGCAUCCGUCCUUGGCCGACAGGCUCGGGCAAUCUUUGAACGCUGGUCGUGAUGGGGAUAGACUUUUGCAAUUUUUGGUCUUCAACGAGGAAUUCCUAGUAAACGCGAGUCAUCAACUUGCAUUGAUUACGUCCCUGCCCUUUGUACACACCGCCCGUCGCACCUACCGAUUGAAUGGUCCGGUGAAGCCUCCGGAUUGGCGCGCACCUCGGUGCCGCCGAGAAGUUGGCUAAACCUUACCAUUUAGAGGAAGGUGAAGUCGUAACA
rnacentral:rRNA from 1 species